rnacentral:rRNA from 1 species
AUUGAACGCUGGCGGCAUGCCUUACACAUGCAAGUCGAACGGCAGCACGGGAGCAAUCCUGGUGGCGAGUGGCGAACGGGUGAGUGAAGUAUCGGAACGUGCCCAGUCGUGGGGGAUAACGUAGCGAAAGUUACGCUAAUACCGCAUACGAUCUAUGGAUGAAAGCGGGGGAUCGCAAGACCUCGCGCGAUUGGAGCGGCCGAUAUCAGAUUAGGUAGUUGGUGGGGUAAAGGCUCACCAAGCCGACGAUCUGUAGCUGGUCUGAGAGGACGACCAGCCACACUGGGACUGAGACACGGCCCAGACUCCUACGGGAGGCAGCAGUGGGGAAUUUUGGAAAAUGGGCGAAAGCCUGAUCCAGCCAUGCCGCGUGCAGGAUGAAGGCCUUCGGGUUGUAAACUGCUUUUGUACGGAACGAAAAGGUUUGGCCUAAUAAGCUGAGCUCAUGACGGUACCGUAAGAAUAAGCACCGGCUAACUACGUGCCAGCCGCCGCAGUAA